rnacentral:rRNA from 1 species
GAUGAACGCUGGCGGCGUGCCUAAUACAUGCAAGUCGAGCGAACAGACGAGGAGCUUGCUCCUCUGACGUUAGCGGCGGACGGGUGAGUAACACGUGGAUAACCUACCUAUAAGACUGGGAUAACUUCGGGAAACCGGAGCUAAUACCGGAUAACAUGUUGAACCGCAUGGUUUAACAGUGAAAGACGGUCUUGCUGUCACUUAUAGAUGGAUCCGCGCCGCAUUAGCUAGUUGGUAAGGUAACGGCUUACCAAGGCAACGAUGCGUAGCCGACCUGAGAGGGUGAUAGGCCACACUGGAACUGAGACACGGUCCAGACUCCUACGGGAGGCAGCAGAAGGGAAUCUUCCGCAAUGGGCGAAAGCCUGACGGAGCAACGCCGCGUGAGUGAAGAAGGUCUUCGGAUCGUAAAACUCUGUUAUUAGGGAAGAACAAAUGUGUAAGUAACUAUGCACGUCUUGACGGUACCUAAUCAGAAAGCCACGGCUAACUACGUG